AGUUCCUACCGGCCCGGCGACCCCGCCUUUAGCUAGUGGCCAAGAUUCGCAAAGCCUCGCGGCGAGGAAAGCACGAGUAUUCAAGCGCGGCUGAGGCCCUCCUUGGCUAGUGCUGGGACAUGGAGCCCCGGCAGCCAAGGCCAACCUUGUGCAUUCCACCCACGUAGGCGCCUGGGGCCCUGGUCUUCCUCGACUGCCUCUCCACUGCCUGGAGGUCAUCAAAUGCCCCUGGACCACCUCCUACGUGCCACACGCUGUGUUGGCCAUCCAAGGUUCCAUAUUGAGCAUAAAACAGCCCUCUGCCCUAAAGGAGUUAACCUGUUGGAAUCACAUACAAAGGAUUCUGACUACCAAGCGCCUUGAAGUUAAGUUGAACUCUGAAGACAGAUUGCCUGGCUACAAAGCUCAGUUCCACUACAUAUGGUCCAGGAACUUAAGACAAAUUAUUUUAAUGUCUUUAUGUUUCACUAUCCGCUGUAGUGAAAUAGAAUAAUACCUACUCAUGGCCUGACGCGGUGGCUCAAGCCUGUAAUCCCAGCACUUCGGGAGGCUGAGGCGGGCGGAUCACCUGAAGUUAGGAGUUCGAGACCAGCCUGGUCAACAAGACGAAACCCCGUCUCUACUACAAAUACAAAAAAAUUAGCAGGGCGUGGUGGUGCGCAUCUAAUCCCAGGUACUCGGGAGGCUGAAGCAGAAGAAUCGCUUGAACCCAGGAGGCGGAGGUUGCAGUUAACCAGGAUCGCGCCAUUGCACUCCAGCAUGGGCAACAAGAGCGAGACUCCGUCUC
rnacentral:lncRNA from 10 species